rnacentral:rRNA from 1 species
UACGGGGAGGGCAAGCGUUGUUCGGAUUUACUGGGCGUAAAGGGCGCGUAGGCGGCCACCGCAAGUCGACUGUGAAAUCUCCGGGCUUAACCCGGAAAGGUCAGCCGAUACUGCGGGGCUAGAGUGCAGAAGGGGCAACUGGAAUUCUACGGUGUAGCGGUGAAAUGCGUAGAUAUCGAGAGGAACACCUGCGGCGAAGGCGGGUGCUGGGCUGACACUGACGCUGAGGCGCGAAAGCUAGGGGAGCGAACGGG